GGGCCCGCACAAGCGGUGGAGUAUGUGGUUUAAUUCGAUGCAACGCGAAGAACCUUACCAGGGUUUGACAUCCUGCGAAUUUCUGGGAAACCGGAAAGUGCCUUCGGGAGCGCAGUGACAGGUUGGGUGCAUGGCUGUCGUCAGCUCGUGUCGUGAGAUGUUGGGUUAAGUCCCGCAACGAGCGCAACCCACGUCUUUAGUUGCCAGCAUUUAGUUUGGGCACUCUAGAAAGACUGCUGUUAUAAACCAGAGGAAGGCGAGAUGACGUCAAGUCAGCAUGCCCCUUACACCCUGGGCUACACACGUGCUACAAUGGGUAGGACAAUGAGAUGGCAAAUCUGCGAAGACAAGCUUAAUCUAUAAACUAUCCUA
rnacentral:rRNA from 1 species